UUCCGGUUGAUCCUGCCGGACCCGACUGCUAUCAGAGUAGGACUAAGCCAUGCGAGUCGACGUAGCAAUGCGUGGCGAACGGCUCAGUAACACGUAGUCAACAUGCCCAAGGGACGUGGAUAACCUCGGGAAACUGAGAAUAAACCACGAUAGGUCAUGAUUUCUGGAAUGGAUCAUGGCUCAAAUCUACAUGGCCCCUGGAUUGGACUGCGGCCGAUCAGGCAGUUGGUGAGGUAAAGGCCCACCAAACCUAUAACCGGUACGGGCUCUGAGAGGAGAAGCCCGGAGAUGGGCACUGAGACAAGGGCCCAGGCCCUAUGGGGCGCAGCAGGCGCGAAACCUCUGCAAUAGGCGAAAGCCUGACAGGGUUACUCUGAGUGAUUUCCGCUAAGGGGAUCUUUUGGCACCUCUAAAAAUGGUGCAGAAUAAGGGGUGGGCAAGUCUGGUGUCAGCCGCCGCGGUAAUACCAGCACCCCGAGUGGUCGGGACGAUUAUUGGGCCUAAAGCAUCCGUAGCCGGUUCUGCAAGUCUUCCGUUAAAUCCAGCCGCUCAACGGAUGGGCCGCGGAGGAUACUACAGGACUAGGAGGCGGGAGAGGCAAGCGGUACUCAGUGGGUAGGGGUAAAAUCCUUUGAUUCAUUGAAGACCACCAGUGGCGAAGGCGGCUUGCCAGAACGCGCUCGACGGUGAGGGAUGAAAGCUGGGGGAGCAAACCGGAUUAGAUACCCGGGUAGUCCCAG
rnacentral:rRNA from 1 species